GAACCUUACCAGGGCUUGACAUGCCGCGAAUCCUCUUGAAAGAGAGGGGUGCCUUCAGGAAUGCAGAAAUAAGUGGUGCAUGGCUGUCAUCAUCUCGUGCUGUAAGGUGUUGGAUUAAGUCCCGCAAUGAGCACAAAUCUCGUGUUUAGUUGCCAUCGUUGAGCUUGGAACCCUGAACAGACUGCAGGUGAUAAGCUGGAGAAAAGUGAGGAUGACGUCAAGUCAUCAAGGGUUAAUCUGUCG
rnacentral:ncRNA from 1 species